GAUGAAGAACGUAGCGAAAUGCGAUAAGUAAUGUGAAUUGCAGAAUCCAGUGAAUCAUCGAAUCUUUGAACGCACAUUGCGCCCGCCAGCAUUCUGGCGGGCAUGCCUGUUCGAGCGUCAUUUCAACCCUCGACCUCCCCUUGGGGAGGUCGGCGUUGGGGACCGGCAGCACACCGCCGGCCCUGAAAUGGAGUGGCGGCCCGUCUGCGGCGACCUCUGCGUAGUAAUACAGCUCGCACCGGAACCCCGACGCGGCCACGCCGUAAAACAUCCAACUUCUGAACGUUGACCUCGAAUCAGGUAGGACUACCCGCUGAACUUAAGCAUAUCAAUAAGCGGAGGA
rnacentral:misc_RNA from 1 species